AUAGCGUAUAUUAAAGUUGUUGCAGUUAAAAAGCUCGUAGUUGAACCUUGGGCCUGGCUGGGCGGUCCGCCUCACCGCGUGUACUGGUCCGGCCGGGCCUUUCCUUCUGGAGAGCCCCAUGCCCUUUAUUGGGUGUGCGGGGGAACCAGGACUUUUACUGAGAAAAAAUUAGAGUGUUCAAAGCAGGCCUUUGCUCGAAUACGUUAGCAUGGAAUAAUAAAAUAGGACGUGCGGUUCUAUUUUGUUGGUUUCUAGAGCCGCCGUAAUGAUUAAUAGGGAUAGUCGGGGGCAUCAGUAUUCAAUUGUCAGAGGUGAAAUUCUUGGAUUGAUUCAAGACUAACUACUG
rnacentral:rRNA from 1 species